UAAAAUCAUUCCUCUAACCCAAGCUUAGUUUUCACUUUAAACCUAGAUUAAUUAAGCCUGUCGCUCAAUGAAUAAAAAAACAAACAAAAAAAAACAUGAUUUUAGAUUGGAGAUUAAUUCUAAACUGCCACUUUAGGUGUUUUAUCUGAGAGGCAUAUCUACUGUUGAGACCAAAACGAGUUCCUUACAGAAUAAUUAAAGACAGGUUCAAUCCUGUUGAGUUUUAAUGAUAAUUAAGUCACUAUUAAGUCACUAUUAAGUCACUAUUAAGUCACUAUUAGUAGACUAUGCCCAGCCUUGGUACGAAUGCUGUUGUGUAACAUGCUGUAACGGGUCUGAUAACAGUAACGUUGGACUGAAGUUGCAUUAACGUUAGUUUUAACGUACAUUAUAGGCAUUGAUAUUCACCAGUUAUUUAUGCUUACUAAAUAUUGGUGGGUCAAGGUGUCUGUCGUCAUAGGGGAUAUGGAGAGGGGCAAACUGUUAUUUAUGCUUACUAAAUAUUGGUGGGUCAAGGUGUCUGUCGUCAUAGGGGAUAUGGAGAGGGGCAAACUGUUAUUUAUGCUUACUAAAUAUUGGUGGGUCAAGGUGUCUGUCGUCAUAGGGGUUAUAGAGAGGGGCAAACUGUUAUUUAUGCUUACUAAAUAUUGGUGGGUCAAGGUGUCUGUCGUCAUAGGGGAUAUGGAGAGGGGCAAACUGUUAUUUAUGCUUACUAAAUAUUGGUGGGUCAAGGUGUCUGUCGUCAUAGGGGUUAUAGAGAGGGGCAAACUGUUAUUUAUGCUUACUAAAUAUUGGUGGGUCAAGGUGUCUGUCGUCAUAGGGGAUAUAGAGAGGGGCAAACUGUUAUUUAUGCUUACUAAAUAUUGGUGGGUCAAGGUGUCUGUCGUCAUAGGGGUUAUAGAGAGGGGCAAACUGUUAUUUAUGCUUACUAAAUAUUGGUGGGUCAAGGUGUCUGUCGUCAUAGGGGUUAUAGAGAGGGGCAAACUGUUAUUUAUGCUUACUAAAUAUUGGUGGGUCAAGGCGUCUGUCGUCAUAGGGGUUAUGGAGAGGGGCAAACUGCCAGGGAAUCAUCUCGCAUCUCUUCUGGGUGAUGGGCCUCCGUCCUUGGGAAUUGAUCCUCUCCCUCUCCGGUCUGAAAUAGCCCCCUAGG